ACGAACGCCCACCCAGCAAGCGUAGCGUGUGGAAUUUCCUUUAGGCAGACGCCGGCUUGUCAAACUUGAGCGGCUUGACCACCUCCCAGGUGAAGUCAGCAUCGUCGCGGCCGAAAUGGCCGUAGGCGGCGGUCUUGAUGAACCUGUUGCCGCCUUUCUUGAGGUCAAGGUUGAUGCUGAUCAUGCCAGGCCUGAAAUCAAAGUUCUCCUUGACAAGCCUGAGGAUCUCCCUGUCGGGGAUCUUGCCGGUCCCAUACGAGUCA
rnacentral:lncRNA from 1 species